ACAUGUACAUGCCUAUAGUGUUAAUGCAUCGAAUCCCAUUAGAACUUCAUAGUUAAGCAUGCUUGGGAUAGAGUAGUACUUAGAUGGGUGAACUCCCAUGAAUUCCUAGUGUUUUACAUGCC
rnacentral:rRNA from 1 species